rnacentral:rRNA from 1 species
GAUGAACGCUAGCGGCAGGCCUAAUACAUGCAAGUCGAACGGUGUCUUCGGACAUAGUGGCGCACGGGUGCGUAACACGUAUGCAACCUACCUUACAUUGGGGGAUAGCCUUUCGAAAGGGAGAUUAAUACCGCAUAAGACAGUAGCUGGGCAUCCAGCAGCUGUUAAAGAUUUAUCGAUGUAAGCUGGGCAUGCGUCCAAUUAGCUAGUUGGUGAGGUAACGGCUCACCAAGGCAAUGAUUGGUAGGGGAACUGAGAGGUCAAUCCCCCACCCUGGCACUGAGAUACGGGCCAGACUCCUACGGGAGGCAGCAGUAGGGAAUAUUGGGCAAUGGACGCAAGUCUGACCCAGCCAUGCCGCGUGUAGGAUGAAGGCGUUAUGCGUUGUAAACUGCUUUUAUACAGGAAGAAACGACUCUUGCGAGAGGCAUUGACGGUACUGUAUGAAUAAGCACCGGCUAACUCCGUGCCAGCCGCCGCAGUAACAC